CCAAUGUCCCCUUCAAUUCCUCCAAGCUCCCACUGGAUUUUUGUUUUAUUUUCACAAAUUUUGUGAUUCCAAAGCUUCUCAUUCAACGUUACAAUUUUUUUUUUCCUCAGCCGUGCCCGGGAAUAAUGGGCACGUUCAUAAUGGCUCCUUUUUCCUGAUAAUGCUGUAUUUAAGGGGAAUAUUUAAGUGGAAAAAGAAAAACAAAUGGUUAAAUUAGAUGUGAGUCGUGGCUGAAAAAGGGGUUAAACAUUCCCCAGUGGUGAAUUCCUUCAAGGGGGGCUCUGAAAUCCCCAAAAGCAGCAGGAAGGGUGAGGAAAGGGGUGGCUCCCACCCUUUAUACCCAAAAAUGCUUCAAAAAGGAAAUUUGCAGGUGUCCCAUGGCCACCUGUGCAGCGUGUCCCUUGUGGGGCACCAGAGUCACCCCCAAAACCCCGGGGCCACCAACAUCCUGUGGACAAAGCCGGCCCGUUUUGGGGUGAAUUCCCUCUGCAGCAGGAAUUCCUCAGGCAGGGGGGGUAAAGUGGAACCCCCAAAAUCCCCAUGGGGGGAAAUGCAGGGGGAAGGUCAAAGGGGCUUCGACGAGGCUGAAUUGGGGGUGCAGUCCUGGGACCCCCACACCCGGCCCUUCCCGGCCUCCCCGUGGGCUCCACGCCCCUCCAGCCACCCCAGAACCCCAAAACCUCCCAGGAGAUCCCACAGGAACCCCAAAGAUCCCAGAAGACACAUUCCAAAGAUCCUACAGGAACAUCCUGGAAGAAAGAUCCUACAGGAACAUCCCAAAUAUCCCACAGAACAUCCAAAGAUCUCAAAGGAACAUCCCAAAUAUCCCACGGGAACAUCCCAAAGGUCCACGGGAACAUCCCAAAUCAGGAACCAUCCCAAAGAUCCCAAAACAGGAACAUCCCAAGAUCCCAUGGGAACAUCCAAAGAAAUAAAGAUCUACGGAAAUAUCCCCAAUAUCCCACAGAACAUUCCCCAACGAUCUCAAAGGAACAUCUCAAAUAUCCCACAGGAACAUCCCAAAGAUCCCACAGGAACAUCCCAAAGAUCUCAAAGGAACAUCCCAAAUAUCCCACAGGAACAUCCCAAAGAUCCUACAGGAACAUCCCAAAGAAAACGGGAACAUCCGAAGAUCCCAAAACAGGAACAUCCCAAAGAGUCCCAGGGGAACAUCCAGCAGAUCCCACAGGACCAUCCCAGCUCAGGGAGCCGCUCGCUCUGCCCCAAUUAACGCGCUGCAGUUAAUUACUGGCACAGGAACUCCAGCUCUCGUGGCCGUGCCCGCGGCUCUGCAGGAGGGUCGGUGGGCGCAGGGCGGGCACGCAGGGGCACCCAGGGGUGCCCAGCAGGGCUGGGUGCUCGGGGAGUGUCACUCCGGGGGCUGCCCGGCGUUGAGGGCCAGCAGGACCAUGCUGUGGGCCAGCAGGAGACCUCCGAGGCUGCGGGGCACAGCGGGGUGAGCGACGGGCACCGGGGGCACUGGGGGCACUGGGGGCACUGGGAGAACUGGGAGAACUGGGAGAGGUGGGGCUGGGGUGGGAGUGGCACUGGGAGGCACUGGGGGGGCUGGGGUGGGCACUGGGUGGACUGGGCAAGCACUGGGGGAGACUGGAAGAGAUGGGGCUGGGAUGGGAGUGGCACUGGGAGAACUGGGAGCACUGGGAUGGGCACUGGGAGAACUGGGAGAGGUGGGGCUGGGGUGGGAGUGGCACUGGGGGCACUGGGAGAGGUGGGGCUGGGGUGGGAGUGGCAUUGGGAGAACUGGGAGCACUGGGAUGGGCACCGGGGGCACUGGGAGAACUGGGAGAGGUGGGCUGGGGUGGGAGUGGCACUGGGAGAACUGGGAGAACUGGGAGAGGUGGG
rnacentral:lncRNA from 1 species